UAUGGCCACAUCAGGUUGAAACACAGGUUUCUGUACGAUCACCGAAGUUAAGCAACAUCGAGCCUGGUCAGUAUCUAGAUGGGUGACCGCUUGGGAAUAACAGUUGUUGUAAG